AUACGGAGGGAGCUAGCGUUGUUCGGAAUUACUGGGCGUAAAGCGCGCGUAGGCGGCUAUUUAAGUCAGGGGUGAAAUCCCGGGGCUCAACCCCGGAACUGCCUUUGAAACUGGAUAGCUAGAAUCUUGGAGAGGUCAGUGGAAUUCCGAGUGUAGAGGUGAAAUUCGUAGAUAUUCGGAAGAACACCAGUGGCGAAGGCGACUCGCUGGACAGGUAUUGACGCUGAGGUGCGAAAGCGUGGGGAGC
rnacentral:rRNA from 1 species